AUUCCAUGAUGGGGACAUUCUAGGAUGUAGUCUUGAAAGCGCUCCCAUGAUUCUGGAACAGAUUCAUCAUUUUGUUGCUGAAAACUUGUAAUCUUCCCACGGAGAGC
rnacentral:snoRNA from 1 species